UGCGGGCCACAUGGGGAAGCCCCAGCGUUGGAAAGAGGGCGAAGAAACAAGGGAGAAAAGGGGAGGAGCCUUUACUGUGGUCUCGCUGAGAAGCAAGGCCAGGCAAGGCUGUGGGAGUCAGGAAGAAGAGGUAUUGUGUAGUCUCGUCCUUCUGCACAAGCAUAUUGGAUUUUAGAGCCUCCCCCAGGCAAGCCAAAAAGUUGGACUGCCGUGCCUUGGAGGUUACCUUGGUGCCCGCUCCAUCACACCAGAUGAAGAGGCCCGGAGAAACGAAAGGAGCCGCCCAGAGUCACUCAGCGGGCAGAAGAAACUGUUGGAGGGAAUAUGAAAGAGAGCCUGGUCUUCUUACUUGCCUUCUCCUUGCUCUUUUGUGAAUUCAAGUCACAAUCACAAGCAAGCGGAGAGUGAGUGCGGUCUCCAAGGACUUGGACAUGAAGAUAUUUUUCCUGCUAGACUCUUAGACUAUCCUCACUGCUCAAGGUUAAAAUGAAGACUAGUUUGGUGAGAGAGGCUGCCUAGAAAAUGGACCAAGAUAAGCCAACCUGGAAUUUGAAAUCCUUGUUCCUUGCCAUCUCAGCCGGCCAGUAGGACCUGGGAAUAAUGUGUCCUUCCUAGACUCCUUGGGCUCUCAGAAGUCUCUCCCAAGAAUGGGGUGGAGAAGGAAGAAGCCAUGUAAAAAGUCACUCCAUCCCCUUCUUAAAGGACUAUAAAGAAGUAACAAGACAGCAAAUAACAGAAUUCAAGGAAAG